CUACGGGGUGCUGCAGUGGGGAAUAUUGGACAAUGGGGGAAACCCUGAUCCAGCAAUGCCGCGUGUGUGAAGAAGGCCUGCGGGUUGUAAAGCACUUUCGGUUGGGAGGACUGCUUCUAGCACUAAUAUUGUUGGAAGUUGACGUUACCUUCAGAAGAAGCACCGGGUAACUCCGUGCCAGCAGCCGCGGUAAUACGGGGGGUGCAAGCGUUAAUCGGAAUUACUGGGCGUAAAGCGCGCGUAGGCGGCGAGAUCAGUCGGGUGUGAAAGCCCCGGGCUUAACCUGGGAACUGCAUCCGAUACUGUCUAGCUUGAGUACGGGAGAGGGGAGUGGAAUUCCACAUGUAGCGGUGAAAUGCGUAGAUAUGUGGAGGAACACCAAUGGCGAAGGCAGCUCUCUGGCCUGAUACUGACGCUGAGGUGCGAAAGCGUGGGGAGCAAACAGGAUUAGAUACCCGUGUAGUC
rnacentral:rRNA from 1 species